rnacentral:rRNA from 2 species
CGCUGGCGGCGUGCCUAAUACAUGCAAGUCGAACGAACUCUGGUAUUGAUUGGUGCUUGCAUCAUGAUUUACAUUUGAGUGAGUGGCGAACUGGUGAGUAACACGUGGGAAACCUGCCCAGAAGCGGGGGAUAACACCUGGAAACAGAUGCUAAUACCGCAUAACAACUUGGACCGCAUGGUCCGAGCUUGAAAGAUGGCUUCGGCUAUCACUUUUGGAUGGUCCCGCGGCGUAUUAGCUAGAUGGUGGGGUAACGGCUCACCAUGGCAAUGAUACGUAGCCGACCUGAGAGGGUAAUCGGCCACAUUGGGACUGAGACACGGCCCAAACUCCUACGGGAGGCAGCAGUAGGGAAUCUUCCACAAUGGACGAAAGUCUGAUGGAGCAACGCCGCGUGAGUGAAGAAGGGUUUCGGCUCGUAAAACUCUGUUGUUAAAGAAGAACAUAUCUGAGAGUAACUGUUCAGGUAUUGACGGUAUUUAACCAGAAAGCCACGGCUAACUACGUGCCAGCAGCCGCGGUAAUACGUAGGUGGCAAGCGUUGUCCGGAUUUAUUGGGCGUAAAGCGAGCGCAGGCGGUUUUUUAAGUCUGAUGUGAAAGCCUUCGGCUCAACCGAAGAAGUGCAUCGGAAACUGGGAAACUUGAGUGCAGAAGAGGACAGUGGAACUCCAUGUGUAGCGGUGAAAUGCGUAGAUAUAUGGAAGAACACCAGUGGCGAAGGCGGCUGUCUGGUCUGUAACUGACGCUGAGGCUCGAAAGUAUGGGUAGCAAACAGGAUUAGAUACCCUGGUAGUCCAUACCGUAAACGAUGAAUGCUAAGUGUUGGAGGGUUUCCGCCCUUCAGUGCUGCAGCUAACGCAUUAAGCAUUCCGCCUGGGGAGUACGGCCGCAAGGCUGAAACUCAAAGGAAUUGACGGGGGCCCGCACAAGCGGUGGAGCAUGUGGUUUAAUUCGAAGCUACGCGAAGAACCUUACCAGGUCUUGACAUACUAUGCAAAUCUAAGAGAUUAGACGUUCCCUUCGGGGACAUGGAUACAGGUGGUGCAUGGUUGUCGUCAGCUCGUGUCGUGAGAUGUUGGGUUAAGUCCCGCAACGAGCGCAACCCUUAUUAUCAGUUGCCAGCAUUAAGUUGGGCACUCUGGUGAGACUGCCGGUGACAAACCGGAGGAAGGUGGGGAUGACGUCAAAUCAUCAUGCCCCUUAUGACCUGGGCUACACACGUGCUACAAUGGAUGGUACAACGAGUUGCGAACUCGCGAGAGUAAGCUAAUCUCUUAAAGCCAUUCUCAGUUCGGAUUGUAGGCUGCAACUCGCCUACAUGAAGUCGGAAUCGCUAGUAAUCGCGGAUCAGCAUGCCGCGGUGAAUACGUUCCCGGGCCUUGUACACACCGCCCGUCACACCAUGAGAGUUUGUAACACCCAAAGUCGGUGGGGUAACCUUUUAGGAACCAGCCGCCUAAGGUGGGACAGAUGAUUAGGGU